ACCACGGUAGUGUAGUGGUAACACGCUAUGUGCCGGUAGGUGGCAAACUUACUUACACACUUUGUGCGUUAGGCGUAAGAAUCCUCCUUUAGGACUACAUGUAGAGACCUGAGUUCAAUUCUCAGCAGUGGCA